AGUUGCGAGAAACGCAUUAUGACGCUGUAAAGUUAUUUCAUUAAUUCGAAGGAAAGUUUUGCAGCAGGAAAAAGGUUGCUAUUCCAGGUAAACAUGUCUUUUUCUCACAGGUUAUUUAGCCAAACUGUGGAUGCAUGAAAUUCGUGACUUAUGAAUAGAUUUUAAUUUAUUCUAUAGUAAUGCUUCUAAAAGAGACUAGAAAUAGCAUGUGACUACCUCUGCAAUCAGCAGACCAUACAUUUAGUCAUAAGUGGCAGUUCCAUGCAGUCUCGCACUUUAUAUAACCUUUCCUUUCAGCAACAUUGGAACUGGUGGCUGCGUUUUCAGAAGGAGAAGUGCACUUGACACUGUAUAUGUAUGUGUGAAUUCGGUUUUCUUUGUAUGUGUCGGCUCACUGACAAACAGUGCAAAAAUCUGUUGUACCAUGAGCCUGACGACGCCUUCUGCUGCUAGAAAUGCGGCACUUCGUAUUUUAUAGUACUGCAUGACAUUUAAAUCAAAGCUACCGCAUAAAAUGAUCAAGAAAACUAACCGCUGUUGUAGCUGUUUUCCUCAAAGAACGCUUGUCCUUUAUGGGCUGUGUUAAUCUGAGCUCUCCACCGAUGUUUCAGUAGUAUUAUCCCUUAGUGAGUGAGAGAUUGGGGGCAAUUAAUCGUGUUAGUGUUUAAGUGGUGUCCUAAUUAUGUGCAUUUGUUCCAACAAAGUUGUCUAGAUUACUUUAUUGUGUAGUGUAAAGCUUAUGAAACCAUCAGCAACUACUGAGUUGCUAACACGCAUAUGGAUUUGUCACUAUACAGGUGGAACUCGGCUGUACCACUGCAGUGCUGCGGAAAUUGCCUUCACCAGCGGCUUUGCAACAGCUGUUUCGCAGCAUGUCGGAUACAAUGCCUACGAAAUUAUUGGCCCUGAUCAUGAGAGCCCUCAAGGGGCAAACAACAUCGCUGUUGCGGAAGUGAGCCCGAUACCACUUGGAAGUUACCAUGACAGAUGACACGGCAGCAAUAGAUACAGAGACUGCCAUGUCUACUGCAGCUGCAACAGUGUACGAGGCAAGCAGCAGCGCGUCAGCAUCAGCAGCAGUGUCAGAAGGAACCACACCAGGCCUGGUAGAGCAACAUGUGUGCUAUCACUGACUUUUUUUGUAGUGGAUACAACUCAUUUGCUCAACAUACAAAAGCUUUUCACCACGACUGUGAGCCAGUGUUAUUGUGCAGCAAGUGCAAGACUAAGUUAGGUGUUAUAACACAGUAUAAGCAUCACUUUAAUAUAUGCAAAUGCAAACAUAUUACAGUUGUUGCCUCCCCAGCCAGCCCACAUAGUGACAACAAUGUGGAACACAUGGUGGGACACACCUCUCCCCCAUUACAAGAUAGUAGAGACUGUCAGUGUUGUUGCUAGAUUGACUGGUCUUUGUAGGCAACUAGAAGGACAACACAGGUGUCAUAAGAUUGUUGUUGAUGUUGUUGUUGAAGAGGUAAAAAAGAAGUUUGAUGCAGCUGAAGUGCCAACUGAUAUUGAGCAAAUCAAAAGCAACCACCUGAGAAAGCAACACUAUCGAAAUUUGGGUAUCUAUGUGCCGCCAACUCUGGUAAGAAUGGCAUAGGACAGAAGUGUGAUGAAAAUCACACAGACACUGCUGUUGCAUCACUGGCCACAGUGAGCAGCGACUUGUAGGGCAAGAGAGUCAACUGAAACUAACAUUAUGAUAUAGUGUCAUGCUCCCAUGUGACCACUUUUCAAGUUAUUUUGCUAGAUACAGCUCAACCUCCAGAAACGAAACUGCAACUUGUCUGUAAAAAAGCUUUCACAAAAAAUUAUUCAUAACACUAUUAACGUAGCAGUAUCUUUCUUUUUGUGUCGGUUCGAGGUUCCCGGCUGUCCAUUAAUGCAAAUAUUGAGGAAAAAAGGAACAUGUGUCGUACUUACACCUUUUUAACAAGUACGAGGGGGACAGAACUUUUCUAGUCAUGCAUCUUCAUCAUACUAUCAAGUUUUUAAAUGCCUUUUAUAAUUAUUAUUACCAGUUAUAUCUGAGUGCAUUGUAUGCAUGUAGCAGGUGUAAAAUCAGGUCAGCUGGAUCAGAUGCCUUAUCUGCAAGCGAGCCCUAUAUUCAAGAAAUUUGAAUUAAAAUAGUUACGUUAGAGACGCAGUCUUUCAGCACUUUAUUGCCUGUGGUUUAAGCAUUGCUCAAUACUUUUGUGGGUGGCAAUUUCAACCGGCACAGCACUGCGCUUUGCCACAGUCACAUUUGUCUUCAAAGCGGUGUUUACCAUUUGUGUUGAUGUGUUUGUGUAUGCAUAGAGCAAGUUUUUAAUUUAUAUUUUUCUGCAUUCUUGUGCUUGCACUAAGCUUGUAUAAGGCAGUUACAAAAUGUGCGUCACUAUAACGAACUGUUCUGUUGAGCUUACACUUGCAAAUAAUCGUGUUCAGAUGGCCGCACUUCUAUGCGGGUGCACCGCUAGCUUUGUGUAUGUUCUGAUGUUUGUAUAAAGCUUAUAUAAGCUAGUUAGAAAAUGUAUGUCACUAAGCAUUGUGAUAUUCUUUAAAGAACUGCUUGGUUGGUUUUACACUUGUGAAUUAGUAUUGAGGCGGUGGUAUUCCCAUGUAUGCCCACUGCUAGCUUUCUGUGUCCUCACGUGUUUGUAUUAAGUUUCUACAAGGGAGUUACAGCAUGUACGUCACUAAGCGCUGUGAUAUUUUUUAAAGAACUGCUUUGUUGGUUUUACACCUGUGAGUAAUAGUACUCGGGUGGCACUAGUCAUGUGUAGAUACACAGGGACCAUUUGUAUACAUUAUGCUCAUGUAAAGCAGUUACAAAGUGCAUGUCACUAAUUACUGUGAUAUUUGUUGAAUUGCUGUGAUGGUUUUACACAUAUGAAUAUUAGUGGUCAGGACACAGUACUUGCGGUGUAUAGUUGAAUUUAUACACUGCCAAGACAUGGGCUGUAUACGUACCAAAAGAAAUGUAUGUCAUCAUAUUGUUGUGAUUAUUACUGUUUGGAUUUUAUUAAACUGUAAUAAAAUUGUUUCUUGUA
rnacentral:lncRNA from 1 species